rnacentral:rRNA from 1 species
CAGAAGCGUGUAUUAAAGUUGUUGCAGUUAAAAAGCUCGUAGUUGAAGUAUUGGUAGGUUGGAUCGGCUCUUGCGGUGAAUGCCGCUUGUUAUGUCUGUGUCCGGCUGGCCAUCAUUUCACUGUUGUAAGAUGGUGAAUCAUUUACUGUAAAAAAAUUAGAGUGUUUCAAGCAAAAGGUUGUAUUUGGAAUAUAGUAGUAUGGAAUAAUAAGAUAGGACUUUGGUACUAUUUUGUUGGUUUGUAUACCGAAGUAAUGAUUAACAGGGACAGUUGGGGGUAUUCGUAUUUGGUUGUCAGAGGUGAAAUUCUUGGAUUUACAAAAGACGAACUACUGCGAAAGCAUUUACCAAGGAUGUUUUCAUUAA